CUGGCCAAAUCAAUGAAACAGUGCGUGCACGCUCCCUGAAGUAAUUCACACCAGACACAGGUUCCAGGUUGUUGAAUAACUUGAGGAAAGUUUAUUCAGAGGGGACGGCAAGUCCCUUUUAAAGCAAAAUUACAUCAUAAGCAUUGUCAGAGAUAACAUGGAAUAAUGCAUCAAUAAUUGGUUAGGUGUUAAGUGGUUGCUCUAAUGCUCUGCCUACUGUAGGUGAUGUCACCGGGACCAUGAGGGUCUCCCACGGUUUCCCGGCGCCAUCUUGGUGCACGAGGUAGUUAGUCGAUGUUAGGAAGGAGAAAGGGAAGGGAGGGGGAAAAGAGCAAGAAGCUUCUAGCAGCCAUCUUAAUUAUAACGUGUGUGCUUAACUAUAUAUAUAUAUAUCGUGAAAUGAGUAAAUAGACAUUUUUCACUAACUAGGAAAUAUGUGUAGACCUUAUUUCCACAACAGUCCCCCCUAAAAUGGCUAUUUACCAUAACAACUGCUACUGUCCCUAAUAUGUCCCUAGUUGCCUGCAACCUAUCUGCCUUAACUAGCAUCGAACACUUCACUCCGCGGGUAACCCGCAGUGGCUAGUCCACUACAUCUCCACACGUGAGACUCGCCAGUUAAGACAGACGCUUUCCCUAUACUGUCCCUACAGGAAAGCAGUUGUUUGUUUAAACUGAUGUGAUUGAAGGGGUGUAUGUGGAGUAUCAUCUUCGAGGUCUGUGAUGUCUUGGUGUAUGAAAGUAGGGGUCACGUCAUCUAUAGUCUUGUCCACCGCUUUCUGUAGAUACUUCUGUAUGCAGGGGAAUAUGCAACAGGUCAGAAAUAAGAAAAUAACGAUCAUUAUGAGAACAGCUGUCCCCACCUGGAAGAGGGUCCUUUGCCAACCAUUCAUCCAUCCAAACCAUCUGUCCCAAGUGUCGAUGACUCCUGAAUUUUUCUUUAGCUCGUCUGCGAGACUAUCUAGCUUCUCUAUAGCCAUAGUCACCUUACCAUUGGGCCCAGUGUUGUCUGGAAUGUAUGUGCAGCAUGUCAUGGUCUCAGGGAGGAUUUUACAUACCCCCCCUUUCUCAGCUAAAAUCAUAUCUAGGGCCAUUCUGUUCUGAAAUGUCAUUUGGGUAGUGGCUUGUAGUUGCUCUGCUAGGCCCUGUAGGGCAUCCCUAGUGUAGUUGACAAAACGCUGUUGAUUAUAGUAAAUAUAAUUAAUCCAAUUGACAUUUUUGUUAACAGUUAUCAUUGGAAUUAGGGACUCAAAUCCUGCAGCCACUUCAUCUCUUGCUUUGAAUUCGUUAGGCACCCCCCUUGGCACACCUAUGGCAUCAAUAUACACAUGGGGGUCGAAACUCCCUCGAAUAGGAGUCUCUCGUUUGAUUCUAGAGUGUGCAUGUGUGAGGUUUAACGUGUUAUGGUCACCAUCUGGAAUGAUAUGGAUAGGCAUUAUGACUUUAGUUAGGGCACACUCCCCCCACCAUUGCCCAAUUAAUUGGGACCUCAAUUGUUUAUCCCCACAUAACCAAUAGAUAUCGCCGAUUGUCUUUGUGUGGUUCAUUAGCAGUGAUAUGGGUGGAUUAUGGUAAGUUGAGCAAUAUCCUGAUGGGAAUUUGCCCAGAUACAGACCGGUGUUUUUAGAUAUUGUAUAACAUGUGUAAUUACCUGGGUAGAUAGUGACUCCAUCAGGUGGUCUUACAUGUCCGUGAGUGAUCGGGUAAAUUCUCUUCCACGAUUCACAUGUCGAGGAAUUGGUGACGGACUGUGUGUAAAGGCUCAGAACACAUGAUUCUACUUCGGGAGGUAAAUUCAGAGGAACUGUGCCCAGAUGGGGCCUGGCUCCCCCACACACGUAACAAUUGGUCUUAUUGUGUGAGUUGGCAUUAUACCUCAUCCAUUCUAGCCAUAAAUUAGUGUCUGAAAAACCAGUCUCCACUGCCAUAGUGUCUUCAAAGGUGGGGUUGGCUAUAGCUACCAUGUCAUGUAGGGUCUUAAUAUGUGGUUUUAACGGGUUAACGAUCAUGUGAGUGGUCCCCACCCAGUCGGGGGAGGUGAGCAUGUCUUGUAGGUAGAAUGUCCCCAGUGCAUUGUGUGAGCCACCUCCCUUCCAGUACAUCCCCAUCACAUAUUCCCCCGCGUCCCUUGGACUAGGGUGUUC
rnacentral:lncRNA from 1 species